rnacentral:rRNA from 1 species
AUACGGAGGGUGCGAGCGUUAAUCGGAAUUACUGGGCGUAAAGCGUACGUAGGCGGUUGGUUAAGUUAGAUGUGAAAGCCCCGGGCUUAACCUGGGAACUGCAUUUAAAACUGGCGAACUAGAGUUGAGUAGAGGGGAGUGGAAUUUCAGGUGUAGCGGUGAAAUGCGUAGAGAUCUGAAGGAACACCAGUGGCGAAGGCGACUCCCUGGACUCGAACUGACGCUGAGGUACGAAAGCGUGGGUAGCAAACGGGAUUAGAUACCCUGGUAGUCC